AGGUGACUGAGGCUUAGGUCCAGCGGCACAGGAGGUGGGGACACAGGUGACUGAGGCUUAGGUCCAGGGGCACAGGAGGUGAGGACAGGAGGUAUGUGGCUUCAUGGGUCUUCUUUCCUGGUUUGGCCUCCUCAGUGGGAUCGAGACAGACGUGGGUCUUCCUCCUCUCUCUGGCUGUCCUGCUCAGGUGACCUCUGAACCUGCCCUCUGAGACUCACCUCCUCUGGGGCCCUGUGUCUCUAGCCCUCUGAGGCUCCCCUCUCCUCUCUGCUGAGGAAUUUGCUGGAGGAGAGGAGCAGCUGUGGGACCUGAGGACGCAGCUGGCCUUGCUGUCUAGGGCCAGGGCUGCUGUCAGCUGGGGUGGCCUCCAGCCCUGCCCGUCCCCCAGGCCCCUGCACCUCUGCUCUGCACCCUGCAGAGGAGCAGCCUGACUGCAGGCACCAUGUCCCAGGCCGUCUGUAGGUCCUGAGCUCCUCUUGGCCACAGUGUGACGGGGACUGCCCUGUGCAGAGUGUGGAGACCCUCAGAGGAAGCCCUGGGGGGCCCUCCCUCCCUCUUCCCUGGGUGCAGUGGGAGCUGCUGUGGGAGCUGGGGUGUCUGUACCCCCACCGUUGGCCUCUGGAGGCAUACCUGUGUCACGGAUGCAGUGACCUGGGUGAUCUGCAGUUCUUGGCCUCCAGGCAAACUCCUUUGCCCUGGCCUUUGCCCUAAGCCAUGGGGACAGUGGGCCACACUGGACGCUCAGCCUACAGCACCCGGAGGGGCAGAGUGACAGCCCCAGGAGAGCCGGGUGCUGGGCCAGGCGGAGCGUCGCUCAGGGUCUGUGCAGGGACGGCUGGCUGCCAAGCCUGGCCACCACAGCCACUGUGGCCGACUCCCGCUCUCCUCCUGGGCUGGCUGCCUCUGACUCCCUUGUGAGUGGCUCCUGCAGAACGGACCCACCACACCUUCCUGAGGAUGGCACAGGGGAGAGGAGAGCAGGGAGUGCUCUGGCUCUGGGGAGGCCCCUGAGAUCCCUGGUGUGGCUGUCACCUGCCCUGUGUUGGAGGCAGCAGGUAUUCUGAAGACGAGGCCUUGGAAUGGGGCUGAGCUGGAGACUCCCUCUGCUCCACCAAGUGCCCGGGCACCGUGAUGGCCUCAGGAGGACCCGGCACAGUGUGCUUCGGCAGGCCUGGAGUGGGCAGGCCUGGAGUGCCCCUCCUGGGAGAGGCGCUGUGAGUGACAGGGGUGUCUGGGAACCAUGCUGAGCCUGAGAGCAUUUCUACCCGAGUUCCCAAGGACAGGCCUCUGAUCCCUCCUGCCAGAGUCCAGCAGAAGUGCCUGCCGUGAACCAGCCUGGGAGACUAGGCUGGCGAGGUCCGGGCACCAGAGCACACAGCUUGGCGACUGGCUGGCGGCUACUCCUUCUGCCUUCCUUGGACCCCUCCCUACAGGACAGGGAAGGGGAGAAAGUGCAAGAAUGACCUGACCCUGCAGUGGAGUUUGAGAUGGCGUCACAGAGGAUGCUCAGAUCCCCCGGAGGUUUCCUCGACUCCUCCCACUGCCCCAUCUGCCCUAGGACUCCCGGGCUGCACCCAGUUGGGGUGUCUCGGCCAGUGAGGACCACUCGCUGUCUGAUCUGUGAGCAGGGGCUGGAAUCUCUUUACUGCAGGGGGGUCCUGUGCUCUGUCUCCUGGGAGGAAUUGAUGUGCAGGACUAGCUGGAGCCAGGCAGUGGCCUGUGCUCUGUAUUUGAACAUCCCCAAGGAGUCCGCAAUCCAUUGUCAAGGGUUCUCUUCUUUUUGUCUGCUUUGGUCACCUUUUAACUACGGCUUCUAGAACGUCCUCUGGUCUGCGCUCUGCACACUGCUCCAGUCCUCGGGGUGCAUGGGCUGGGACAAGCUGGUUGCUCCUCCACCAUCUGUGGCUUCAUCAGUAACCCAUCUCCUUGGCGAGGGUGCGCACUGUCCACGAGCUCGGGCAGCCAUACUGAUGUCCUCUGGCUUGUGGUGCCGUGGGCUGAGGCCACCAGCUGCUUGUGUGGAAUAUGCACGCUGUGGGGAGACGGUGUCCUUCCAGCUGAGGCCACCUGAGGUGCAGUCCUCUCUGCCCCAGUCCCACCUGUAUGGUGGCUCCUGGCCUGGCUUCUCCAAGCCCUUCCUCCUCCUCCACUUCUGCCCUCCUGCCCUCCUCCUCCUCCUCCUGUUCCUCCUCCUCCACCACCCCUUCUUGUUCUUUCUUCUCCUCCUCCUCCGCUUCUUUCUCCACCUCUUCCUUCUCCUCCUCCUUCUCCUCCUACUAUUCUACUUCCCCUUCUCCUUCCCUUCCUCCUCCUCCACCUCUCCUUUCUCCUAUUCUUCCUUCUCCUAUUCCUGCUCCUCCUCCUCCUUCUCCUUCUUUUCCUUGUCCUCCUCCACCUCUUCUUCUUCCUUCUCUUCUCCUCCUCCUCCUUCUCUUCUUCUUCCUCCUCUUCUUCCUUCUCCUGUUCCUCCUCCUCCUCCUCCUCCUCCUCCUCCUCCUUCUUGGUAUUGGGGACUGGACCCGGGGGUGCUCGACACCUGAGCUCUACUCCAGACCUUUUUAUUUUACUUUGACACAGGGUCCCUCUAAGUCACCGAGGCAGGCCUUGAACAUGGACCUGGGUGGCUCGGGUCAUGGGCAUGGCCCCUGCCUCUUACUCUUGGAGGAGGCUUGGUGGCCUAGACACACACUCUUGUCCCCCCUCAGCAUCCUGCAGAGGCCACCUGUUGUUGUGGUGUCCAGUGUGGCUGGUGAGAGGCCCAGGUCAGCCCAUGUCCUUUGUAGAGGUGAUCUGGUGCCUUGAAUGUGCUCAGAUGAAUAAUUUCCAAAAUUAACUGCCGAAAGCCGCUGAAGAGGAAUAAUAGUUAAAAUGUCACUGAAAUCUCUACCUUGAAAUAGAGUUGGACAUUCUAUGUGUUGGGGGGAAAUGGCCGGGGCUGGGGGACGACUUUCCUGGUGUCCCUACAGCAGUCCUGUCCGGGGAUGGGCCUGAGCGAUGGCCGCUCUCCACCUGACUCUGCGUGCCACCUCUCUUCAGUCUGCAGUCUCUAAUGGGCUCUGCGUGUCCCUCAGUCACCCCCCCCCCCAAGUCUCUUUCCCUCAGGCUCAUUCCACUGUUGACCUGAAAUCUCCUUUUAAAUUUUGCUUCUUUCCAUGGCCUUGGCCAGGUCCCAUGUGCCUCUCUGUCCUGUCCUUCUUGGGCACAGCACUUGGGUUCUGGUUUUCCUCAUGGCUCCUGUCACUGCGUCACUCGCGGUGGGCCUGAAGUCACUUGUGGAGCUCUGGGGCGGUGCUUUCCUGGGAACAGGCUGUUGCUGGCUGCUUUUCCUGCUGUCUGUGAGGCUGACACAGUUCCCGUUCACGCGCAUUCCUGUUGCCUGAAGCUCACUCCUCUGGCUGGCUCUUUGUGGGACCUCCUUGGUUGGGCAGGAGAGCAGUUUGGGGGUUCCAUUCUUGCUCUGGGGUCACAGUGGACUAAGGACUGUGUCCUGGACAUGUGUCCCCAAGCGCAUCUCUGCAGGCCCAGCGGCUCUGCACCUCAGAGCCCACGGGCGACGUCUCUGUGCCUUGCUCGCUCAUCCUGAGGCCUCUGCCACACCGGCAGGUCACACCUGUGCUGGGUUCCCUGUGUUCUGUUUCCUACAUUAACGGUGUCCACUGUGGCUGGUGAGAGGAGUUCAUCCAGGGAAACCAGAGCACAUGCUGAAGGGGCGUCUCCGCCGUGUUCAUGGCCCCAACCCGGACUGAAGAAAGGAGGGAAAACAUGCCCAUGUGUCGGUGGAGGCUGCUCGGCCUCCCAGAGGUUCUGUCCUUGCAGCCCGUGAUGAACCCCAAGAGCAUCAGGCCAAAGGAAUGAGGGCAGGCACAGCACGCAGUCCCACCUGCUAGUGGAGCCUGAAGAAGAGAAGUGUGGUGCCCAGGCUGGGAGUGGGCGGAGGGUGAGGGAGGGCCCCAGAGACACACUCCAUUAGGGGCCAGGGCUCAAGGCGCUGUCUUACAACAUAGUGGCUGCAGGUGAUGACAAUGUAACUUUAUGUAUUUAUUUUUUUGUACCAGGGAUGGAACUCAGAGGAACUCAACCAGUAAACCACAUCCCCAGGCCUUUUAAUUUUUUAUUUUGAGACAGAGUCUCCCUACGUUGCUUAGAGCCUCAUUAAAAUGUUGAGCCUGUCCUUUAACUUGUGAUUCUCUGGCCUUACCUCCCUAAACUGCUGGGAUUUCAGGCAUGUGCCACAGCACCCAGCAUGUAACAUGUCCUUGAAACUCUCUAAGAGAGUAGAAUCUAAGUGUUCUUAUCACAAAGAAUAAGUAUGCAUCUAUUAAUUGGUUCAAUGUGGCCAUUGCACAAAAAUGUAUACAUCUAUAUCAUCAAAAAAUAAAUUAGUUCAAAAACAAACAAACAAAAAAAAAAAACAACCCAACUCUACAUUCUGCCUCUGCAGAGUGUUGUAGUCAGCCUUUUUGCUUCUGUGAUUAAAAAACAAAACAAAACAAACCACCCUGGCAAGGACAAUUUUAGAGCAGGAAAGUGUAUUUGGCUCAUGGUUUCAGAGGUCUUAGUCCAUAGACCACCAACACCGCAGCUCUGGGCUUGAGGAGACGCAGAACGUCAUGGCAGAAGGGCGUGGCCACCAGGAAGCAGAAAGAGCUCCUGCUCAACAGGGACAAAGUGUGACCCAAAGGCACACCCAGUGACCUAUUCCUCCAGCCACACCGUACCUGCCUGGAAGGAGGAGAAUGUGAUGUCCCCAAGGACUCCACUGGGGGGGUCCUGACGGAGGAAGACAGGAUCUCUGGAAGCAUCCGUGUCUUGGAGUGUGGAGCUGGCAGCUCGGUUGGGUUCCCCUGCAAACCUGCUGCCUGCUGUGGCCUCUGUGUCCUGGGCCUCAUUUCUCUGCUGGACAGAGACACUGCCCCCUGCCCCCUUGACAGUAAUGGAAUCGAGGGCUCGACUGGGAUUGGAACCAUCGACUCGGGUCAGUAGCAGUCACCUCAAACAGCUGAUGGGCCUGGAAAGUGACCAUGGUCCGCUGUCCCUUCUGUGGCUCUCGGGCUGGGCAGCCGCAGCCAUGGCUGGCACUGAUUCCAGACUGACUGGGCUCCUCCUUGUCUUCUCUCGGCCACACCAUCCACGACAGGAUUAGCAUGUUCUCUCCUCCUGAGGGACACAGAGACAAUGAAACUCCAGGUGGUGUUACCAAUGGAGCCCCGUGGUCAUCCCUCCAGCCCUACCACGGACCCCUCAGAGACCCACGGAUGAACGUCCUCAGUGCUGGCCUCUGGACCAGCCUGCUGCUUCCCUCUUGCCCUAGACCUUCCGCAGAAGGACAUCCUGGUGACACCAACAACGCCCCUUGUCAGCCUGAAGUAGAUAGAGUGGUCACUGAGCCAAAUCCCAACAGUGGUCGGGGUAUCCGCUAGAGCAGGGAUGAGGGAGAUGUAGAGGCCUAGGCAGCCAGGGCAAGAUGGCGAGGGAGGGGGCCGGGCAGGGUCAGGACAAGGCGCACGGAGAGGGUCUCCUGGUGAGGUCAACUUCCUGCUGGACAAAGUGCGCGUGGGCAUGCCUGGGACCCAAUCACACAGACCCCUCCCUACUCGUGCCCCUAAGUGGGGGACCUAACGAAAGAACUCAAACAGACGUGUGGACAGAGGGGACACCCAUCAAUAAUGGCCAGGAGCACGUGGACAGGGAGGAGAUAAGGGAAGGUGGAGACUCCAGAGACCAUAAGAAGAACAGGCCCCAAUUCCCCCUGGACUCCCCGGUGGGCCCUUCUCUCUGCAGAAGCCUGACUCUGCAGCUGUCGCUUGUGGCCUCUGUGUCCUGGGCCUCACUUCUCUGCUGCACAGAGACACUGACCCCUGCCCCUAGAACGUAGCAGCUAAAGGGUUAUUUUCUCAUUUUUAAGUAGUGAAAUAUAUUUUAAUGGACUGUUCUGGGUUCUUUUCUUCCGGGUGGUGAGAGAAGUUUCUGGAACAUUUGUCUCUGGACUCCUGGCUGCCUUUCCCGUGUUACUUGGCGGCUGGUGUGAUGGAAGUGGAGAUGUGGCCCUGCAGCUCUCCCCAGCCCCUGGCCACUGAGGGACACGCAGGGGGCUCUGGGGCCUCCGCAGGAGCGAGAGGGAGAGUGAGGAAAACUGGAGGCAGGGCAGAGGACAGAGGGUCAGUGUAGCCACGAGUGAGUGGGUCCCACGGGCGGCCGGUUCAGGAGACGCUACCCUCCAGGGCACCUGCCCGUCUUCCAGCCUGUGGCCAGGCUCCCCUGCCUCCAGGGACCUGCCCCUCCCAGCAGAGAGGUGCUAAUGAGCACCCCUCGGGCUCCUUUCCUGCAUGUGGUCAUUCCCACCUUUAGGCAGUGGGGUGAGAGGAGGGGGCAGGAGAGGAAAGGAAGCCUGAAUCCAGAAAAGGGCAAGACACCCCCUCCUCGGGGACAGCUCUGGACGCCCCGUCUCUGCAGGGGUCCCUCUCCCUUUCUCUUUUCUGUUUCUUCAGUGAAAUUUGCUUUUCUCUCUUGCCUUGGAGUUUCUCGGGUGUUUAAUCUCAACGUGGGGACAAGGGCUGGUUCUGACGUUUAGGACCAGUUUCAGAGCUGCACAGAAGGACUCUCAGGAGACCGUGUGCAGGGCAGCCCCAGGUUGGCACAAAGCUGCAUUUGCCCCUGUGCUGUCCUGUGCAGAACAGGAGGGAAGGAGGGCCUGGCAGGAAGGGGUGGCCGGAAGGGGGCUCUCCCGGAGCUGGCCCGGAACUUAUCUGCUUCCUGUGAGCUGAGGUGCCCAGGGGGAGGGUGGCAUCUCUUGUGCCCUAGUCUGGCUGAGCUCCAGGCUCCACGAGGGCAGGGCAUUGGGUCUCUGAACCUGGAGGGUGGGGCCAGGCUGCUCUGGGCCCACUGCCCCCACCUGCAAGCAGCACUGGCUCCUUCUCUCAGGAAGGGAGGCAGGGGAGUGGCACCUGAGUCCUGCAGGUGGAGGCCCCAGACCCUUUAGGGCGGGUGUGGGCUGUGGUGCCCAGCUGCCGUGGGCAGUUCUGGACAGAGCUCUUCUCACUGUGGUACUCCCAGCUAUAUCCACUGUGAUUCAGGGCUGCUCAGAAUCUGUUCAGGACGUCAGGCCUUUCUUGGUGAGCACCUGCACCUGGGAGCCAACGUGGCCAAACACAGUCAGCACUUCACAGUGCACCCUGACACAGCCUCUUAGCAGAUCACCUAGGCGCCCCGUGCCCACAAGCCACCCUCCUGGAUGGUGUCCCCACCGUUCUGUGGAAGGGGACAUGAGGACAAAGAGAGGGAAGGGAGAGACGCCGUCCCUGGAAACAGUGCCGGGCUCCUGAGGACCCCCCAGAUGACUGUCCUCCCUGUUCACACUCUGAGGGUUCCCCAGGAGCUCUGUGAGGAGUGGGCUCCUGUCCUCUGUGGCUUCCAGCCUGGUGGGUUGGAGCCCCUCUGCCCCCAGACAGGGCCUCUGUGGCGCGGGCAUGUGGCUUGGAAUUCGGGGCAUUCAUACCCUUUUUUGCCUUGGACACUGGGUGCCAUCCAGGGGCUGGGUGUGGCCUGCCCGCUGUAUUCUGGAGCCUGCUCUGGCUCUCCAGCUCCGACUGUAGCUGCUGAGGAGUCAGUAGCCUCCUAAGUCUAUUGGGAGAACCGGUGGAGGUGACCAGCCCAGCCCUUGUGAGUGGCAAUAGCUUUGGGACAUGGGUCUCAUCACUGUGGUAGUUGCUACUCCAUUGACACAGUGACAGAGGCCCCAACAAUAUGGUCUGUCCCCAGGGCCUGGGGUUGUCUGCCCCAUCUCCCCUGGGCCCCUCAGAGGGUUGUGCUCUGGAUGGUGAGCUGUAGGUGGGGCUGGGAGGACAUCCCCCGGAACUGACCUGAGUCCCCCUGAGGCCCAGAUCGUAGCAGGAAGGGGUUCACCUGCAGGUUGGUUCCUAAAGCAUGAUGUAGCCGGGGGGUCUGGCCACCUGGUCACCUGGGUCCCGUCCUCUGCCCUGAUGCUAGUUUCCCUGCUGUGGGGGGCGAGGGUGGAGCCUGGGGAGGGCCAGUUCCCGUGAGGCCCGUGAGCCCUGGAGCAGUCUGUGGGCCUCUGUGUUCCUGCUGCUCUCCAGGGCACUGGGCCUUGGCCCCCUCUCCGCUCAGGCCUGGCCCAGCUGUGGCCUGUCUCAGAUCACCCAGGGGCUGCAGGUGCCACCUGGCCAUGCUGGCGGCAGGGCGCACUGCCAGUCCCCUGCAGGACCCCGGCCUGGCUCUGCCCUGGGCCGUCUCCCCAUGCAGGGGCUCUGGGUUUCUCUCUCCCUCACCCCUGCUCUGACCCUCCAGCCACGCAUGGACAUGUGGACAGUUGCCUCUGCUCUAGAAUCUGGACCUCCCGCCAGAGGGGCCUAUCCUUCCCUGGCCAAGGUCAGAUCAGUGGCCUUGAGGGGGCCCAAGAAUAGAGGGGCAGCUGCCAGGCUUGGGGCUGUGGAGGGGCAUCCAACUGGCCCCAGUUUCUGCUCUGGGCAGCAUCACUGUGGUAGCUAUAGCCAGCUACACAGUCUGAUGUCCCCUGACAUUAAUUGAGCAUGGCCCCGGAGGGAGGGCUG